GGUGCCAUAUCGGUAGAAAGCAGACUUAAUUGGACUCAAAAUCCAGUGGCCGUUAAGGCUGUGAGGGUUCGAGUCCCUCCUCUGGUACUG
rnacentral:tRNA from 1 species